UUCACCGAUACGGAAGCCUUGUAAAAGUACCCAAUCUGCUCUCGGAGGCAGGUAACACUCAUCUGUUGCUGGAAGUAAACCUCCUCUGGAGUUAAUCAGCCGCUCUACGCCCCUCACGUAUAGCCCACAGAUCAAACAUGAGUGGCUCUGUUCCGUCGGCUCUCCUCCCCAGAGAGUCGACGCGUUCAGGGUUAAGAUAUGACCGUUGCAACCUCGCGAGAGGAAUGGCACAAAAGUUCCGUAGGUGAACCUGCGGAAGGAUCAUU
rnacentral:rRNA from 1 species